UGUUUUACGCGUUAUUUAAUAUUUUGUGGAGAAUACCCACUGCUUAUGUUCUUUUUGUUAUUUUGUUACUUCCACGUGGAUCGAAUGAUAAGUGAGAAUCAGUGUUCACUCUAGUCCUGCUUUAUUAAGACUGAGCUAUUUGAUACAUGUAUUAUAUUUUUUGUAAUUAUUUUAUAUAAUUGUUAUAUUGGACUAUUGUCUAUAUCCUGAGUCUUACGAACUUGUAAAGGAUUUUUGACAUGUAAAUAAAUGAAAUGAAAUGAAAUGAAAAAACAGAAGUACGCCUUAUAUAUACAUACAGGCUUAUAACCAUAGUAACACUUAACAAUAUAAAUAUACUGUUGUUACACAUAACAGCAAACAUCACUUAGGUAACAAGACAUACCCUAGUUCUUAAAUUGUUUACUAUGAUGUUGCCAACUCUAACAUUAUAUUUCAGUAUCUGAGAGUUGCCAACAUAACACUUUUGUACGUCAGAGCCCAUGUUCCAGUUGUGCACUGUAUAGAAGAAAUUACACAAGUGUGACCUGUUUGGCUGGAUGUGCAUAGGAUAGGAUGCUUUCUUACCGAUAGAGCUCUCGGCACUGACGUCGGCCAUCGUAUGUCAACAGCUGAAUAUAGAGGGUACAGUAGUUUGUGGUGAUGUCAGGGGGUCAGCAGCUGAGUUUCCACGGGAUACCGCUAUGAGUCCUGCAUGUUUGGCAGUUAGUUUGCCGAUGUACAGUCGUAGAGGCUUGAAGGUGUCUUCUUUGUCGGAAAAUAAAGCCGAUUUUCAUAACGUUUUCAAGAUUUGACAAGCUCCAGAGGAAAAAAGAUGGAUGCAGCUCCAGGAACGACCAUCAAGCGUCCGCUCAGUUGUUCUUCUCCAUCAUUACAGUUAACAGCAAUAGUAUCAGAGGGAUCACAGCUAUCAGUUCCCAAGACCUUUGUCCUACACCCACAAGCACAAGAUUGCUGAUUUCAAUGAGUUGAACCAACUGGCUAGCCAAUUAAAACCAGGGUAUUGUACCGAUC